rnacentral:sRNA from 1 species
AUUGUGGGAUCGCGGAGCCGUCCCUGAGACGCUGGGAUCCGCAGAGGAGCCCACUUGAGAGCGCCUCCUGUCGUCCGUAAGGCUGCCCUGCCAUCCCUCGGCACCCCAACUUCCCCCGCCCCCCCAUCGCCUCCUCCUCCAUCCUCCAGUUCAAAAUGGCGACGGCGGCGGCAGCGGCGGCGGUGAUGGCUCCUCCGGGCUGCCCGGGUUCGUGCCCCAACUUCGCCGUAGUCUGCUCCUUCUUGGAGCGCUACGGGCCGCUGCUAGACCUGCCUGAGUUGCCGUUCCCUGAGCUGGAGCGGGUGCUGCAGGCGCCGCCGCCGGACGUCGGCAACGGAGAAGUACCAAAAGAAUUGGUGGAGCUCCAUUUGAAGCUGAUGAGGAAAAUUGGCAAAUCUGUUACUGCAGACAGAUGGGAAAAAUACUUGAUCAAGGUAACUGGUAUUUGUAAAUUUCCUGCUCUAUUACUGAAAUAUUACUCUAGCAUAAAUUGAUAUUAUGUUUUAUAAUACACAUAAUUUUUAAUUAGUUUACUAAAAGUAAGACUAUGGCUCCAAAAUCCACAUGACUACAAGUAUGUGAUUCUCUUCUUUUGCUACUACUUAGUAGCAGUCUUGAGUCCCGAAGUUAGAUUUCAGAAGUGUUAUAUCUCUUUUAUGCCUAACACUGUGCUCAGGACUUUUCAUGUCUUUUCUCAUUUAAUUCUUAAAAUCACCCUGAUCACAUCAAGUAAGAAACUAAUCAGGCUCAUGGAUGUUGUCAUUUUUGCUUUAGUUCACAUAGUAUGCAUAGACUUAUUUAGUGGUUCCCCUAGACUCUGUUAUAUAGAACAGGGGUCCCCAACCCCUGGGCCACAGACCAAUAGUGGUCCUCCCCAUUCCUCUCCUUACCAUGUGAGCUCCACUUCCUGUGAGAUCAGCUACAGCAUAGAUUCUCAUAGGAGUGCGAACCCUAUCGUGAACUGCACAUGCAAAGGAUCUAGGUUGUGUACUCCUUAUGAGAAUCUACUGUCUGAUGAUCCGUCACUAUCUCCCAUCACUUCCAGAUGGGGACCAUCUAGUUGAUUCAAAUGUAAUGCAUUUGAAUCAUCCCAAAACCAUUUCCCUCCCACCCACCACCCCCAGUCUGUGGACAAAUUAUCUUCCGCAAAACUGGUCCCUGAUGCCAGAAAGGUUGAGGACCACUGAUGCAGAAACAUGCCAUCUUUUUCAUUCCUCAGAAUUUUUGCAUAUAUGGUAUCUUCUGCCUGGAAUACCUUCCCACCAGUUUGUUUUCCUAGCCAACUUAUUUGUCCUUUAGGUCUCAGCUCAAGUAGUACUGUCUCCUUGAGUCUUUCUCUCAGGAAGAUGUUCCUUCUUGGAUUCAUGUUUAACCCUGUUUUAGAAACUGUCAUAUGGUUUUAUAUUGAAUGUUCAUUAUGUACCAGGGGCUGUUUAGUGCUUCCUUUGCAUUAUCUCAACUUUAAAAUACUGAUUAUCCUCAUUUUACUCAUUUUGAGAAACUAAAUAGAGUAACUUGUCCGGUCUCACAUUGCUAAAAACGACAGAGCCAGCAUUCAAAUCCAGGACUCGGUGAAUCCAGUACUUUAAAAUAUCACUGAUGAAAUGUUCCUCACAUUUGUCUUUUGUGUAUAUUGUAAGUUUCUUGAAGGCUUCUUUUACUCUUUUUUUUUUUUUUUUUUUUUUUUUAAAGACAGGGUCUCACUCUGUCACCCAGGCUAGAGUGCAGUGGUGCUGUCUCGGCUCACUGCAACCUCCGCCUCCUGGGUUGAAGCAAUUCUCUUGCUUCAGCCUCCUGAGUAGCUGGGACUACAGGUGCGUGCCACCACGCCUGGCUAAUUUUUUUUGUAUUAUUAGUAGAGACAGGGUUUCACCAUAUUGGCCAGGCUAGUCUCGAACUCCUGACCUAGUGAUCCGCCCACCUCGGCCUCCCAAAGUGCUGGGAUUACAGGCGUGAGCCACCGUGCCUGGUGGCUUCUUUUAAUCUUUUAUGCAUCAGUAUUAGAUGGAUCAAUUAAUCACUGAGACAAUUUUAGUUUUCUUUCCUUUGACUGCCAGUAAGCUUAACUUUGUUAUAUUUAUUUCUUAGUUAUAAUCAUUAGCUAGUUUUCUGAUGGAAUUUUUACCUUCCCUGUUACAUGGCUCUUAUGGCGCUCUCGUCUUUCUCCUCGUGGCAUCAUUGUACAUAUGUAUUACUGAAAGCUGUUUCUUUUCCUUUUGCAGUAAAUGGAAUAUAAUUAAUAUAAAAUUCUGUUUAAAUCCAGAGCAAGUAUCUGGCAUCUGCUAGGCCUUGUUGCUUCACUCAUAGCAGACAUUACCAACCUAAGCCUUUCCUGCUAAGCAGACUACAUUAUUACACAAAUCAGUCAGCAUUGGCAUCUAUUUGCCAUCUCUUGUUAGUAAUUCCCUAAGACAGCUGAACUAAGACCUAUAGAAUGAGCAGAAAUUUUGUUAGGAAAUAACCAGUAGCUUAGCCCUACUGUAAUAGAAAGUACCUUGAGAAAAUGACAGUGAGUGGAGGCCUAACAGUCAUAUGUUCAGGAGGUUAUUGUGAUAAUCCAACUGAGCAAUAAGGAGACCUGAAUUAAGGUUUUGGCACUAGGGAUGGAAAGGAGGGGGUGGAUGUAAGAGCUAUUUGGAAGGUAAAAUCAACAACUAUUGAUAAUUGAUAGUGAGAGAGAAAAAGAGAGGUGUCCAGGAACUGAGCUUAACCAAGGGCAUUCAUUUGUUAUUGUGCUGUAUCUUGUGUUUGCUAACAUACAUUCAUUCGUAGUAGAUAGGACCUCAAAAAUCUAGGCGGAUGACUUUUUACUUUUACAGCGGAAUUACCCUUCUAAAAAUAAAGAAACCCAGCCGGGCACAGUGGCUCACAUAUGUAAUCCUAGCACUUUGGGAGGCUGAGGCAGGUAGAUUGCUUGAGCUCAGGAGUUCGAGACCAGCCUGGGCAACAUGGCAAAAUCCCAUCUCUAC